CCUAGCGCGUCCGCGCAGGCGUGAAGAGCCUCUCUCGUUUCCAUGGGAACCUUCGAGGGUCCCAGCGGCUCGACUCUGAGGACCGCGUGGCCGUUGCUCCCCCUCAGAUGUGGGAUGAUGGCGCAGGACUUCUGGAAGCUACAGAAGCUCCUCUUCCUGAACGGGGGACCCAAAGUGAGCUGUGACCUUGUCUCCCGGGCAGCUUGUGCUCCCAACCCUGGAGUCCUGUUCUUCCUCUUUGUCCUGCCCCUCCGGCUCGCCCCACCUCCACCGGCCACAGAUUCAAAAAGCUUGGCAAGACACACAUAGGAUGAGCACAAAGAAAAUCACACCUGGAGUGGGCACAUGAUAGUCAGACUGCUGAAAACCAGAAGUAAAGAAGACAUUUCGAAAGCAGAGAGAAAGAGAACCCACAAGCAGGCAAAGGCAGUGAGAGAAGCAGGCUCCCUGCCAAGCCAGGAGCCUGAUGUGGGACUCGAGCCCAGGACCCUGGGAUCAUGACCUGAAUCAAAGGCAGCAGCUUAACCGACUGAGCCACCCAAGCAUCCUGCUGACAAGACUUUGAAUCUAGAAUUCUUUAGCCGAUGAAAAUACCUUGCAGUAGGAGGGAGAAGGAACGACAUUUUAAGAAAAAUGACAGAGGAGAGAAUUUGCUGCUGGCAGGCCUGCACUAUGAGAAACGCUAAAGGGUGUUCUUCAGGCUGAAAGGAAAUUUGGCAACUUGGAUCCAUAGGAAGGAAUGAAGCACCACAAAAAUGAUAAUAUCUGGCUACACAGGAUUGCAUUGCUGGGUUUAUUUAAUUAGCUUCCAUGGAUGGGAACUUAACGCGGUUCCAAUGCUCUAUUACAAAUAAUGCGUACAGUGAAUAAGCUUAGGCCUGUGUUGCUAUAUGUCUGUGGAAGUGAAUCUUUGGAUCAGUUCCUAGAACUAGCAUUGCUGGACCAGAGGGCAAAUGUUCCGUCGUCCCACUAGCACUACCAAAUUCCUUUCCCCAGGAGGCUGUGCCAGUGGUAUUGCUCCUACACGUUUCCCCCCAGCCUGGCCAACAGACUAUACUGUCCAAGUUUUUUAGCUUUUGCCAGUCUUUUUUUUUUUUUUUUAAGAUUUUAUUUAUUUAUUUGACACAGAGAGAGAUCACAAGUAGGCAGAGAGGCAGACAGAGAGAGAGGGGGAAGCAGGCUCCCUGCUGAGCAGAGAGCCUGAUGCCGGGCUCGAUCCCAGGACCCUAGGAACAUGACCUGAGCUGAAGGCAGAGGCUUUAACCCACUGAGCCACCCAGGCGCCCAAGCUUUUGGCUGUCGUAUUUGAUGGUAGGUAUCUCAUCAUAUGUUUAAGGGUGGACUGGAAACUCUUUGAGGCUUGGGACCGAAGCUGCUUCUUCCAUGUGCUGCUCGUGCUAACAGGUGCCCCAUACUUGUUCAACAAGGAAAGAGACAAACUGCCUGGAUUUCUCUUGGACUCAUCAUGCUUGGAUUCUUGUGAAACCGGUCACCGUGACAGCUGACUCUUGUCCCAAUGUGUGCAGUGCCGGCUGCCCUGCAGAGGUCUAGUGAAAGAGGAGAUGGCCCUUGCCCUUGCCAGUGCCCUCACCCCCAAGGACAGGUAGAGGACCCCUCCGUCCCAGCAGAAUGUAGUCAAAAGAGGGUGGCAUUGAGUCCACAAGGCCGUUGCACUAGAUGGCACAAAGCCUCUUUUACUUUAGAAUUGUCUCUAGUACUGUUAAUAUUUGUUAAAUACGUCUCGCUUCUCGGCCUUUUGGCUAAGAUCAAGUGAAGACUGCCUUUCUUAUUGGUUGAUUAAAUAGGUAAUAUAGUCAUGUAGUUCAAAAUUCAUGUUAAUAAAAAAUGUCCCUUCAUUCCCUAUUUCCAACCCACUUGAGUUACCUUCCUCUCAAAAGCAACUGAUGGUUUGGAUUUCUGGAGUGUCCUCUCAGAGAUAUUUAUGCUGAUUGUAGGUGAAUGCACACUUUUUUUUAACCCAAAUAGUAGCGUAUUGUAUACACUCGCCUACAAAUCUUUGUUUCCCCACCUCACUUUUCCCCCAUCCAUCUGAGAGCCCGUUCUAUUCUAGACCAGGCCUUGCAGAGCUUGCUUGGACUUUUCCAGUGUGGUGUCCGUCGUGUACGGUAACUUCCUUUACCAGUGCCUUCCUGGUAGGCUGUUGAUAGUCUUUGCUAUUACAAAUGGAAAGAUCACAAAUAACCUUCCAUAUGUUGUUACACACGUACAGUUGUAUCCGUCGGACGCAUGUCUAGCUACGGACUGAAUGGGAUGCGUGCAUUUGUCAUUGUGACUAAGGAUGCCCAACUGGCAUCCUCGAGCUGUACCGGCUUACACCCCUGCAUUGCAGGAGUGGCUGUGGGAGGGUCCAGGGCAGCCACCCCCCGCCCCCCGGAGAGCCCGUGGAGGAGCGGCCAGGGCGGUCCUGUGCGCUUCGGCUGUGAUGAUCCUCCCUUCUCCACACCCCCCGAGGGGGCCUCUGGGGAGCACACCGAGGGCUGGCCCAGGGGACCCAUGGGCUUCAAGCAGGAAGUGUAAAGGAGCCACUUCUGCAGCUGACAGCUUCGACGCAUCCCUUGCUGAGAAAGCUCUAGGAGAAGACGGCUCCUGCCCUCAAGGCCAUGCAGCUCCCAUAAGUGACUUAUGUAGGGACCAGAUUUCACUCAGCUGAUGCCUACCUGAGUGUCGCAGGCUGGACGGGACCAACGGACCCAGCAGGAAGUAUGAAGGACACGCCAAGAUUCGGUCAGCCUGGAGGGCCUGCUGUGGAGCCCCCCGCCCCUGUGCUAGCACCCCCCACCCCGGAAUGAAACACUCAGCAGAGGGGACCAUGAAG